UAAAGUCCUUUCACACAAUAUUCAAAACAAAAAACACACCAAAAUAACAUUUUAUUUCCACAUUAUUCUCCCAUGAAUCCAACAUCCUUCACCCUUAUUUCUGUUAUUAUUUUUUGGCAAAGGAAAACACGGAUACACAUGAUCACAUGAUGGUACAGGAGGUUGAUGGAUCCUCCUCACAAAUCAACCGGAAUCCUCCAUGAGAGGUUCCACCAUUGGGCAUUGGUCGACAAGAGCAGGGCGUCCAGCAACAAACCUGGCAAAUUGGUGGUUGACAUGGUGGUGGACAUGGUACAUUUUUUGGUAGCUCCAUGCAGGGAUCCAGGCAUUGUGGAUGCUCCCAUACUAUGAUCUCAAUGUCGUUGGUCACCUCGUUUUUAGUUUCUAUUUCGGCAGUUUUUUUACCUUAGCAUCCUUUUUCUUCUCGGGAGUAGGUUCCCCGAUCACCUUCUUAGUCAUCGUGCAUUUGGGAUCCUUGUGAAGGUCGUAUAAUAUGAUUUGAAUGUCGUUGUGCAGCUCGUUGGUAAGUUCUAUCUUCUUAGUUUCUGGUGGGGGUGGCGGCGGCGGGUCUCGUACAAUUACUAUGUCUUUGAUCACCUUGCAGGCCUUGCAGCGGAGCUUCUUGGAGAGCUUCUCGGGAUCGAAUGGGCCGGAGAUUGUGACAGUAUUGUUCUUCUCGCCAUAGGAGAUGGUUUUUAUGUUCUCUUGUUCUUUGUUGAUGGAGAUCAUGGGGGGAAAUUGGAUGAUUGGUACGUGCAAUCUUUAAUUAGUAGCUAAAAUACUGAACUAGAAUGGAGGCAGUGAAGUGUGGGGAGGUUUAAUUACGUACCUUGCAGCUUGCACAGAGUCUUUUGAAUCUUUUUUAAGCAAAAACGGCAGCCUAGAUCAACUUUUAUGGCUAACUUGGAGAUCUGUGAUACGAUUUGUUUAGUGAAUGUGAAAAUAAUAUGAAGGACCUCAGCUAGGGAAUAUCCGAAAAUAAAUAUGCAUUACAAAUGAUGAUACCAUUGUCUUAAUAUGAGUAUUAAAAUAAUAAGAAAGAAAAAGGAAGGAAGGAAAAAAAAGAAGGCAGCAAAAAUGCAUUUAUCUGCUUUUCUAGAGCCGACGCAUUUAGCCUGCUAUAUAUUAAAGAAAGAAGGAGAGAGCGAGUGAGAAAAAAAAAUGGAAAAUUUGAAACUUGCUUUUACUGGCAUAGUUAGAAAUAAUUUAACAAGAAUUGUGAUCUUAAGCUAAUAGAGAAAGGAUAAAUAAUGUAUAUCAAAGUUAAACAUGGUCAGAUUGAUCUAAAUAAGAAUGAAAGAAAAGAUUGAAGAGUGAUUAAAAAUCGACCUGUUUCUAAGUUUUAUUAUGAUAAAAAAAAUAUAAAAGGGAAUACCAAAACUUCAUACUAUCAUUAACAUAUAACUGUAAGUUUAAGGGAAAGGAUCAUGAUAUUAUGAGUUCUAUAAAUGAAAUGAAUUAAAAUCAUCAUAAGCCUUUGAAAAUUACAUAGAUAAGACACAACAAAGAGGAGAAUUUGCAACCUUUUCCGCCAUUGCUAGAUUGAAGCCAGAUCCUAAUUCUGGAUGCUUGGUUUCGAGGGUGGUUUGCGGGAGGGCAGGGCGGGCGCAGUCUUGUUUAUAGCGAGAGUGAGAGAGAGGGGGUGGGUGGUGGUGGGAGCCUUUUCUUUAUUAUUAUUUUUUUAACUAAGUGGAAGUGCCAUCGCACAAAUGGAAAUAUUUUUUUAACGACCAUCAUAUCCACCAAAAUAACUUUUCCUAUUUGUUAUCAAGAGAAAACUCAUCCCAAGAUUUGUUCAAUAUCGUUCUCCACUUUGGGAGGAAAAAAUUCGAUAGCCGUUGCAUUAAAUGUAUUAAACUACGAAAUUUAUGAAUCUUAAAGUGCUAAAUUACCAUCCGCAUGCAGGGAAAUCAUAAGACCCACCAUUGAUGCAUGUCUCGCUUCCUUCCACUUUGAUGGAUAUGAUGUAAAGGCCUCUUUACGAUCAGCCUUCUCAUAUCUAAGACGAUAAAGAUGAAGUCUGUAUUAAAGUUUAAAAGCCUGACAAACAAAGCCAAUGCUAGCGCUGCGUUUGCUUCAUCUGCGGGGCCUGAUCUACUUCGAGGCUGCUUUUGUACUAAUAUGAGGUCGGCGGCGCCGACCCAAAUUAAGUCAAUAGAAGUUAGCUCGGACAGGCUAGCCUCGCAUGCCAGUUUAUACUUUAUAUGCUAGCUAGUAGUGGUCUUAGAGGCGGCUCAAUGCAUUUGAGGACUCUAAAGUAAGACUCUUUUUUUCAUAAAAAAUGAUGAAAAAUUUUUAAUAAGUUCAGAAUAUUUUAAUCUUUUUAAACAAUAAUUUGUCUAGCUUUUUAAGAUGCAAAAUUACUAAUCAAAUUUUUGUACUCAAGAUUCAUUAAAAUACUAUUUUCAGUCGAUAAUAUAACUAAUUCAUUUAAUUUUUUUUAUAUAAUUAACUGUACAUAAGAUUUUAUCAAUUUUAAUUUUAAAAAAUUUUAAUUACAAAUAAAACAUACGUGGCUCAGUUUGCCGAGCAUGCCAGCGCUGAGUUCAAUAAAAUUGUAGGGAGCAGUUGCGAAGAGCUUGAUGAAGCCAGUGUCAGGGUCUGCUUGUCACUUGAAGCUUUUACUUUUACAAUACAUGACAGCAUCUGCUAUUUUGCAAAAUCUCUCCUCCAAAUAACAACAGUUCUUCUGACGUAGCAGAUCAUGGCAAACCUGGAGAAUCUGAAGCAGGCUUUUAAAGGGACCGCAGAAAUUAACAAACAGGACGUUGAAACAAAUAAGAGGGUGUUGGAGGAAUUUGAGGAUCAGAACAAGCAGGACCGAAAUGAAGGCUUGUCCUUCAAGAACCUGUGGGAAAAGACACCUCAAGGGAAGGCAGAAGCUAAGUUUGAAGCACAGAAGAUUGGAGAAGUUACAAAGGAGAGGGCAGGAUCAGCAAUCCAGAGAAAUAUUUGUGGUCAUGUCAGUGCUGCUUGUGACAAUUAAUUGGAAAUGCUAUUGUCACUACUCCCGAGGUAGAAUGGAGAAAAGUUGCAGCAUAGGGUUUGAUAUUUGCCGGCCUGCUUGCUCAGUACACUUAAGAGCAGAGCCUGUCAUCAAUAAAUGAAAAAACAAAUAAGAAAAAAAAAGUAAAAGAUGAUAGUUGAAUCUUCUUCCCUUCUUCUUCUUAGUGCUCUUAUAUCUGACUGUUGUCACCAUGCAUGCAGCGGAAAAUAAAAAUCUUACUGAAUGCUGUCUGUUCUAUAAAUUCUCAAAAAUUUUGCAGAAGUAGUCCGCUUUGUUUGUGUUUUUGAAAAUUUAAACCAUUUUUAUUUUUUUAUUAGAAUAAGUGGCACAUAUUGAAUAGUAUACUGAUAUUCUUAUUUGAGUGGUAUAUUGAUAUUCUAACAGAACGGAGCGAAGCGACGAUAUUUGUUUAUUUUCGAAAUAAUUAUGUAAUAUUUUAUUUCACCAAGGAUGCUGAUAGGAAUUAGGGUUUAACUAUAAAUAUUUUAUAACUCUUGUUAUUUUUAGAUGAUCUAAUAGUAGAUUCGUGUGAAGGAAGAUGCAUAAUUCUUUCAUACGGAAGAUAUAAUCGCAACCUAACUCCGAACCCCACCUGUCACUUAAAAGCCAAGAGGAUGCGCCGCUAACCUACAAACUCGGGAAGUAGAUGCGGUUGCCUCAUAGAAAUAUUGUGAAGUAAAUUCUAGUAAGAGACCACAAUGGCAAGCUACUGUCAUGCGGCCUUAGGGUCGCUGCCUGCUCGUACUCCAUUGGCAGCUCAAAAAAUUCCUACUGGUAUAUUAUUGAUUAGCCAGCAGCUUGUAUCUGAGAGUUCAAAAAAUUCCUGAGACCUCACUUCUCACCCUUUAAUUACCUUCCCAAUAGCCUCUGGCUGAUAUAAAUUUAUUUAGUUUUGGAGAAAAACACCAAGGAAAAAGAACUUCAUAUUAUUCAGGCAUAAAAUCCUUUCACACAAUAUUCAAAACAAAAAACACACCAAAAUAACAUUUUAUUUUCACAUUAUUCUCGCAUGAAUCUAACAUCCUUCACCCUUAUCUCUGUUGUUAUUUUUUGGCAAAGGAAAAACACGGAUACACAUGAUCACAUGAUGGUACAGGAGGUUGAUGAAUCCUCCUCGCAAAUCAACCGGUAUCCUCCAUGAGAGGUUCCACCAUAGGGCAUUGGUGGACAAGAGCAGGGCAUCCAGCAACAAACCUGACAAAUUGGUGGUUGACACGGUACCUUUUUUGGCAGCUCCAUGCAGGGAUCCAGGCAUUUUGGAUGCUCCCGUACUAUGAUCUCAAUGUCGUUGGUCACC
rnacentral:lncRNA from 1 species